UACAGAGGGUGCGAGCGUUGUCCGGAAUCACUGGGCGUAAAGGGCGCGUAGGCGGCUUGAUAAGGUUGCGGUGAAAGCCCGGGGCUCAACCCCGGGUCGGCCGUGGCAACUGUCGAGCUGGAGCACUGUAGAGGCAGGUGGAAUUCCCGGUGUAGCGGUGGAAUGCGUAGAGAUCGGGAAGAACAUCAGUGGCGAAGGCGGCCUGCUGGGCUGUUGCUGACGCUGAGGCGCGACAGCGUGGGGAGCAAACAGG
rnacentral:rRNA from 1 species